rnacentral:rRNA from 1 species
CCUACGGGUGGCAGCAGUGGGGAAUAUUGCACAAUGGGGGAAACCCUGAUGCAGCAACGCCGCGUGAGUGAAGAAGUAUCUCGGUAUGUAAAGCUCUAUCAGCAGGGAAGAAAAUGACGGUACCUGACUAAGAAGCCCCGGCUAACUACGUGCCAGCAGCCGCGGUAAUACGUAGGGGGCAAGCGUUAUCCGGAUUUACUGGGUGUAAAGGGAGCGUAGACGGUGUGGCAAGUCUGAAGUGAAAGCCCGGGGCUCAACCCCGGGACUGCUUUGGAAACUGUCAUGCUGGAGGGCUGGAGAGGUAAGCGGAAUGCCUAGUGUAGCGGUGAAAUGCGUAGAUAGUAGGAGGAACACCAGUGGCGAAGGCGGCUUACUGGACAGUAACUGACGUUGAGGCUCGAAAGCGUGGGGAGCAAACAGGAUUAGAUACCCGGGUAGUC